UUCCAGACUCCUACGGGAGGCAGCAGUGGGGAAUAUUGCACAAUGGGGGAAACCCUGAUGCAGCGACGCCGCGUGAGCGAUGAAGUAUUUCGGUAUGUAAAGCUCUAUCAGCAGGGAAGAAAAUGACGGUACCUGACUAAGAAGCCCCGGCUAACUACGUGCCAGCAGCCGCGGUAAUACGUAGGGGGCAAGCGUUAUCCGGAUUUACUGGGUGUAAAGGGAGCGUAGACGGCUGUGCAAGCCAGAUGUGAAAGCCCGGGGCUCAACCCCGGGACUGCAUUUGGAACUGCGUGGCUUGAGUGUCGGAGAGGCAGGCGGAAUUCCUAGUGUAGCGGUGAAAUGCGUAGAUAUUAGGAGGAACACCAGUGGCGAAGGCGGCCUGCUGGACGAUGACUGACGUUGAGGCUCGAAAGCGUGGGGAGCAAACAGGAUGAGAUACCCAGUA
rnacentral:rRNA from 1 species